GGAUGUGAGGGCGAUCUGGCUGCAACAUCUGUCACCCCAUUGAUCGCCAGGGUUGAUUCGGCUGAUCUGGCUGGCUAGGCGGGUGUCCCCUUCCUCCCUCACCGCUCCAUGUGCGUCCCUCCCGAAGCUGCGCGCUCGGUCGAAGAGGACGACCAUCCCCGAUAGAGGAGGACCAUUCUUCGGUCAAGGGUAUACGAGUAGCUGCGCUCCCCUGCUAGAACCUCCAAACAAGCUCUCAGGUGCCCGUUGGGGUCUGGAAUAGGAGACAUUGUGAAAGCUGACAGCAAGAUGCCUCUGUUAUUCUU
rnacentral:snRNA from 1 species